AUUUAAAUAGCUUAAAUAUAAAGUUUAAUAAUGAAAAUAUUAAGAUAAUUUUUUAAUUUUUAAAUA
rnacentral:tRNA from 1 species